UCGCCCCUGUGCUGGAACCCUACAAUUUCUGUGGGGGACCAGCAGCCAGUUUUCUGGUCCACAGAUUAGGUGGUGGCGGUCUCAGGCUUUGAUGCUGGGAUCAAGAUAUAAUCGGUCUCCAUAGCUAUGACUGUGGUUGAGAAACGUUCCGUAGGUGAACCUGCGGAAGGAUCAUUA
rnacentral:rRNA from 1 species